rnacentral:rRNA from 1 species
AUUGAACGCUGGCGGCAGGCCUAACACAUGCAAGUCGAACGGUAACAGGAAGAAGCUUGCUUCUUUGCUGACGAGUGGCGGACGGGUGAGUAAUGUCUGGGAAACUGCCUGAUGGAGGGGGAUAACUACUGGAAACGGUAGCUAAUACCGCAUAACGUCGCAAGACCAAAGAGGGGGAACUUCGGGCCUCUUGCCAUCGGAUGUGCCCAGAUGGGAUUAGCUUGUUGGUGGGGUCACGGCCCACCAAGGCGACGAUCCCUAGCUGGUCUGCGAGGAUGACCAGCCACACUGGAACUGAGACACGGUCCAGACUCCUACGGGAGGCAGCAGUGGGGAAUAUUGCACAAUGGGCGCAAGCCUGAUGCAGCCAUGCCGCGUGUAUGAAGAAGGCCUUCGGGUUGUAAAGUACUUUCAGCGGGGAGGAAGGGAGUAAAGUUAAUACCUUUGCUCAUUGACGUUACCCGCAGAAGAAGCACCGGCUAACUCCGUG